rnacentral:rRNA from 1 species
AUACGUAGGUGGCAAGCGUUGUCCGGAUUUACUGGGUGUAAAGGGCGUGUAGGCGGAGAUGCAAGUCAGGAGUGAAAUCUAGGGGCUCAACCCCUAAACUGCUUUUGAAACUGUAUCCCUUGAGUAUCGGAGAGGCAGGCGGAAUUCCUAGUGUAGCGGUGAAAUGCGUAGAUAUUAGGAGGAACACCAGUGGCGAAGGCGGCCUGCUGGACGACAACUGACGCUGAGGCGCGAAAGCGUGGUGAGCAAACAGGAUUAGAUACCCUGGUAGUCCACGCUGUAAACGAUGAAUGCUAGGUGUAGGGGGUAUCGACCCCUUCUGUGCCGCAGUCAACACAAUAAGCAUUCCGCCUGGGGAGUACGGCCGCAAGGUUGAAACUCAAAUGAAUUGACGGGG